UGGGGAAUAUUGCACAAUGGGCGCAAGCCUGAUGCAGCCAUGCCGCGUGUGUGAAGAAGGCCUUCGGGUUGUAAAGCACUUUCAGCGAGGAGGAAGGCGUUAAGGUUAAUAACCUUAGCGAUUGACGUUACUCGCAGAAGAAGCACCGGCUAACUCCGUGCCAGCAGCCGCGGUAAUACGGAGGGUGCAAGCGUUAAUCGGAAUUACUGGGCGUAAAGCGCACGCAGGCGGUUUGUUAAGUCAGAUGUGAAAUCCCCGAGCUUAACUUGGGAACUGCAUUUGAAACUGGCAAGCUAGAGUCUUGUAGAGGGGGGUAGAAUUCCAGGUGUAGCGGUGAAAUGC
rnacentral:rRNA from 1 species